UACGUAGGUGGCAAGCGUUGUCCGGAUUUACUGGGCGUAAAGCGUGCGCAGGCGGUUAUGUAAGACAGUUGUGAAAUCCCCGGGCUCAACCUGGGAACUGCAUCUGUGACUGCAUAGCUAGAGUACGGUAGAGGGGGAUGGAAUUCCGCGUGUAGCAGUGAAAUGCGUAGAUAUGCGGAGGAACACCGAUGGCGAAGGCAAUCCCCUGGACCUGUACUGACGCUCAUGCACGAAAGCGUGGGGAGCAAACAGG
rnacentral:rRNA from 1 species